AUGUAUGCAUAUAUUUUUUUUCCUACGCUGCCGCCAAUUAAUGCCAUCGGCGGCAGCGACGCCAAGCAGUGUCACAAAAACAACACCAACACAAAUCAAAAAAGCAAAAAAUUAAGAGUAAAAAGAGCGGCGGCUGCAAAAACAAUUAUAUUUUUGCAAUGUGAGCAUUAAAGAAAAUAAAACUGCUCUUUAAACAAAUAUGCGAACGGCAAACAACAGAAAAAACAUAACAACACGAUGAAGUAGAAGAAGGAAUGAAGGAAAUAAGAGAAGCGGCAGAGAGUCGGAGGUCCCAAAAAAAUGUGUGUGCUUGUGUUUGUGUGUGUGUGUGUGUGUUUGUGCGUGCGGCGCGCCACAUGAGGAAAUGGUCAGCGUCGACGUUGGCAGCGUGCGCUUAGUUACAAAAAAGAAAAACGAAAGAAAACCACAGCGAAAACAACAACAAGAAAACCUGACUCAUUUUGUUGUUAUCCUCCAAUUACUGUUAUUCUUAUCAGCCGCAGAAUAAAAAAGUGUGCGUGUGUGUGUGUGUGUGUGUGUUUUUUGGUUCUUUUACUUUCUGCUUCUUCCACUUCUAAUCCACACUCCCCUCCCACCGCAUACAUUAUCCUGCAGUCAGUCAAACGAAGAGUAAAAAGACAACAACAAAAAAUUAGAGUAAAAGCAACGGUAUAACAAAACAAGGAUCGGAGCAGCAGCGGCAGUGAAAAAAAAGAGAAGCAAAGCAGCAGGCAGUCGCACGACGCAGACGACGAUCAGCAGAGAGGAGCGGCAGCGCAACAGGAACCACCUCUCUCUCUCUCUCUCUCACACUCUUGUGCGCUCUUUCUCCCGCUCCCCAGAUACGGAUACAGAUGCCCGAAGUUUGCUUCACAGACAGUGCUUUCCACCAAAGAUCGUACUACUCCAUUGGGGAUCCAUGGGAUAAGCAGUGCAAAAACAUAUUCUAGGGAAAGUAAAUAUGAUAAUAUCCAGCGCUACGAUGGGCCUCGUGGCGCCAAAGCGCCGUUUAUUUGCAACGCAUCUCAGACGCUAAAAGCCAAAGAGAUAGAAUAAUAAUAGUAGGAGCCGCAGUCGCAGCGGUGGGCCAGUGCCAGGGCCAGCACCAGCACCAGCACUCCCCCCCUUCCGAACGCCACCCGCCCCCACCCACAAAUGAGGAGGGGUGGGCAACGACGGGCCAACAACAGGUUGAGGAGCACAUACAUAGGCAAAAGCCCACAACAAAAUCAAAAGCAAAUGCCAGAGCAAAGGCAAAGGCAAAAGCAAAAGCAACAAAAACACGACAAAUAGAAAGAAGCAGACAAAAUAAAACAGAGAAAACCACCAAAACCGCAAAAACAACAAGCAGAGAAGCCACCGAAAGAGAGCGGCAGACCAACCGACCGACCGACCGACCGACCGACCGACAGGACCGACCGGGCAGCCGUGAGAGUAAAAGAGGGAGAGAGUAAUCCAAUCAAAAACCAAACACAAACGCAGCAGAGCAGCAGCAGCCGAGCGGCAGCGAC
rnacentral:sRNA from 1 species